GACGAACCGAGCGAACGUUAUUCGGAAUCACUGGGCUUAAAGGGCGCGUAGGCGGGCCAUCAAGUCAGGGGUGAAAGCCCCCAGCUCAACUGGGGGAAGUGCCUCUGAUACUGGAUGGCUUGAGUUCGGGAGAGGGAUGCGGAAUUCCAGGUGUAGCGGUGAAAUGCGUAGAUAUCUGGAGGAACACCGGUGGCGAAGGCGGCAUCCUGGACCAACACUGACGCUGAGUGAGCGAAAGCCAGGGAGCAAAGCGGG
rnacentral:rRNA from 1 species